GUCCGAAUGGUAUGGUGGUUAGUGACUCUGACUGCCAUGCCGGAGGUCCCGGGUUCAAUUCCCGGCCGGGGCA
rnacentral:tRNA from 1 species